UGUUGUUUCUUGAAAAAAAAAAAAAAAAAAAAUCAUCUGUGUUUAUCAAACUCACUUAACAAUUUAAUUUCUGAGUUUAAUUCCCAAGAUUUACAAUUUAAUUUCCAAGACUUUGUUUGAUUAUUUUAUUUUAUUGAUAACACUUUAUUUUAAUGUUCAAUUCUCAAUAUUAACUAGUUGCUUAUUAGUAUGCAUAUUAGCAGCAUAAUGGCUGUUUAAUAGUACGUAUAAAGCACAUUUAAAUGCCUUAUUCUGCAUGACCAUGUUCUAGUUCUCUUAACCCGACCCAAUACCUAAACUUAACAAACUAACUUACUAACUAUUAAUAAGCAACAAAUUAGGACUUUAUUGAGGGAAACCCCUUAGUUAAUAGGGAAUAUGUGUUACCUAUUCUAAAGUGUUACCAUUUCAUUUUAUUUAAUUUUGUUUUAUUUUAUUAUUUUAUUUUCAGUGUUCCAAGAAACACUGGAGCACAAAAGAUGUUUCCAGAAUGUUGCAGUGAAAAUUGUGACUCAUUUUAUGUUCAGUGGAAGAAAGAAAGCCAAAGCUGCUUUGGAACAGCAAGUAAAUAAUGGCAAGAUCUUCAUUCUUGGUCCCUUUUCUGCUGUUGCCUAACAAACAGCUCCUUACACCUGUUUUGCCAUCCAUAUCAAGCUGUGUUGAGCUACUGAAUGCUAAUCCAAUUGAGAUCCGGCAUGAACAAACCACAUUUUUACGUGUCAGUGGACUUCCACUCUUUACCUCCUUUAUUUAUCCAGCCUCCUUGGAAGAGGUCAGAGGUCAGCCAGUGCUCAAAGAGAAGUUCUGUUCCCCCACGAUGAGACAUGACGGCAGUGUUUUCAUUAGCAGUUAAUGAUGACAGACAGUCAUGCGUGAGAGACACCAGCCUGCAGAGUCACGCAAGGCUUCUGAGUCGGAAGACACAUCAUGAAAAUGUUUUUUUUAUUUUUGGCACGAAGAGCACAGACCUUCUGAAAACAUAAUUCUAGGAAAUCAGCUCACCAUGAUAUAGGGGAAGCGACCAACUUUAUCCCCCACAUACUCUUGGCAUACAAGUUUAUUUCUGGCUUACAGUUUUUUUUGGUUUUUUUUACUAAUAUUUGUAAUAUUUGUUAUUAAAAUUAAUUGGCAAAUUACAGAUGAGACAGCCCAUAGUACCAUGUUGACAAUUUGGUUCCCAGCAUGCACUGUGGAAUGAAUUAAAUAAGCAGUUGAAUUUUUUAAUUAUUUGCUGAUUUAUUUUUCUGUUGUUGUUGUUUUUUUUUUUUUUUUCUUAUUUUAUUUUAAGUUAAAAAGGUACAAAAGGUAUUUUCACUGGGACUGUACCCUUUCAAAAUGUACUAAUUUGUACACUUUCGGUACUAAUAUGUACGUUUAUAGUACUAUUAAGGUAAUAAUAUGUACCAUUUAGGGGUGAAUAAGGUACAACUGUUUACCUUUUAGCUUUUGUACUUUAUGGUAGUGUCCCUGUGACAGUUUUGUACAAACUUUUUUCUGAGAGUGAAAAACUUAAAUUAAUAAUAUAAAAUAAUAAAAUUAAUGAAAUUAAAAUUGAAUUGAAAAUAGAAAAUAUUAAAAUAAAAUAAAUUCAAAACAAUAACCAAAACUAUAAUAGCAUAACACUGAUUGAGACAAGUUUUCAGGCCUUGCAUAGACAUUUUUUAUUUUAUUUUUUAAAAAUUUUAUUUAUUUUUUUAUUUUACUGAAUAUAUUGUAAGACAUUAGUGUUAAAUCUUGAAAAAUGUGGGCAAUUUUGCAUAUAGUAUACAUAAGAAGUAUAUAUAACACAAAUACAUAAACUGUUCCUUGGAAAAGAAUUCAACAGAUCUUACAAAGCAUGAGAGUAUUAUGCAGAGCAGAUCGUUUGUCGCGUGCGGAGAGGGUAGAGAUGUGACUAAUCAACAUGGUAAUUAUUUCUGCACUGGCAUGAAUUCUUUUUUUUUCUUGCGUUUCGUCUCUCGUUAUUUCUGUCUUUCUUUUGUUUCAAGGAACUUGCGUGACAUUGAGCAGAGUGAGGAGGAGGAAGAAAAAUCCCCGUUUGGCAAGACACGGCUACAUGCUGAAUUUUCCCUACAGCUAGUAAUAUCUGAAGUUCUGCCUGCCCUCACAGUAUUGUUUGAGGGAGGAAUUCGUAUCAUUUCCUCUGGACUUUUUUGUUGUCAUUAAUACAUCAUUCUUUUUUGGUGGUUUAUGGUACAAUAAUGCGCCGGGAUCAUGAGUGUGUGGUACCACACCAACGGCCUGGAAGAACAAUGCUACAGUAGAGCAGGUCACAACCGAGCAUGGUAUUGCUUUCUCCAUGAAGGAUAGCUGUGGUAUGCAUGGAAAUUCUUGCUGGUCUUUUUGCUAGUGUUUGUAACGGUAAUCAACAGCUUGAGGAGGGAGAAAACAGCCAGCGUUCAGCUGGAGUGACUUCAGCGUUGAGUGAUAUACAAUCACUAAUCAUAAAGGAUGCAGGAACUUCCCCUCUACAUUCUCAGUCUCUGACUGAGGGCCUCGUUCACUUCUGCCUGUCCAACUGUGCAGGUGUUAUCUGAGCUAUUUAAACAGAAGGUGACCCGAACGCCGUGCUGUCUGUGGGGGAGGCUUGUGCUGAACACAGAGAUCGCGUGUGACUGGAGACCUGGCCACCCACUGAGCUGAAA